UGCUUGGUGGUCUAGGGGUAUGAUUCUCGCUUUGGGUGCGAGAGGUCCCGGGUUCAAAUCCCGGCCGGGCCCAU
rnacentral:tRNA from 1 species